CCUACUCCUAACCUGAUAACAUUUAACAGGUGUGAAAGACUGAAGAUCCAUUCUCGCCUCUUCCUUCCUUAAGUGGCAGAAUAGAGAAACCCGAGUUGAAUUCUAAUAACAUCCAGUGAGUUUCUGCUUUGGCUUCAAUGUCACUUUAGACCAAAAUUUUGAAUGAAAAGUAAAUGGUUUGCGACUAAUUAUUUUGAUCCUGCAUUGUAAUUGGUUGGUUGCUUCUUGACCUGCUGAGUUUUUCCAGCAUUUUCUCUUUAUUAAGUAUGAAGUGUGUGGUUGGAGUGGACUGGAGACCGAAAACAAUCUUCAAACAUUUUCAUGUGAUCCAAGGCUGCGUGAAGAGUCAAUGAGACCACUUCCACUGUAGACCUAUAGUGGGGAUAAGCGAAUUCCAGUCAUUAACUGCACUUUAUUCUGUUAUGUAGCAUUUAUGGUAGAUGUUCUCAAUGAUGGGUAAUCGGGUGCCGAUAAUCUGUUGGGCAAUUCACCACACGCUGGAGUGCUUUGCGGUCCAAUAUGGGACAAUUGCCAUACCACACUGAGAUGGAGCUGCAUGCCAGAUACCGCGAUCAAACUGGAAGACUUCCCAAUUCACAGAAUGGACUGAACUGUUGGUUCAGAGAAGGCAAAAGUUGGAGAUGCGGGUUUUGUAAUAAACUCUCGGUGGUUCUCCGAUGUGGUGGUUUUGUCAACUUCAUGUUCCCUCUGACCUUGAACACCUAACGAUCAAACGACAAACAUUCUAUUUAUCUAGGGAAUUCUCUUCCUGAUUGCAGUUUACAUACCACCAGCGGCCGGCUAUAAUCAAGUGCUUUAGAUACUGCAUGAUUCUGUCUCCAAACUAUUAAACAAUCCACCCCAAUACAUUUCAUGAGCUAACAUCCAUCUAAACCCCUCAAUGUUAUGUAUUUUAAUUUUCUUAUUUUCGAAUAAAUUUACUAGCCUAGACAUAUGGCCAUGCAUUUUAAGAGAUUUAGCGCCAUCUCAUGGUAAUUUGGUAAUAGUCGGCAUCAAGCAAUUCAAAACCACCGGUAUGUUACCAACAUGGAAGACAACCAGCUUGCAGACUUGAAUGUGGCUCAAAGACAUCCAAUAACAUGACUUAUCAGAAAUCCAGAAUAUGGACCAAUAAGUAAUUAAUUUGAAGAAAGAGCACAACAUAGAUGAUCAGAUGUUUACCCAUUUCCUUAACUUUAAAUGAGGAAGGAAUAGGUUCAUAGUAAUCCAAGAGUAAUCUGUCUGGAAUACUGGAUAAUGGACAAAAUUAAAAAGUUAGCUGUUGCCUGAAUCUAUGUAUUUGCAAUUAACAACAACUUCUUAUGUGAAAAUCAGCUCCAGGGAUAACAAUAUUUCCAGUGACUGUUAGUUCUAUACAAUCAUGGGCUAA